AUGCUGAGUUUAAAGCCAACAAUUGUUGUUUUUUGGAUCUAUUAUUGUUUGAUACAAGUCUCAGGAACGGAUAUCAAAAACAUUACCUGUCAUGACAUAAAGACCAACAAUGGAUACAAGUAUACACAUAACUGUGUUGACAAAGAGAUAUCUGUCAUCAAUUUAGCGGACAAUAUAGUCAUUGCUAAUAUUGACAGAAAUGAGCAACAGAAGUUGGACUAUGUAAAAGAAAUUAACGAAACACACAUUAUAUUGAAGACGUGCCUCUCAAUCAAAGUGGAAUGCUCGAGUAAUGGCGUCAGCGGAUAUACGUCAAAGACAACCAUUUUUCGGGUGUCUAAAACUAAAGAAAGGGAGGGCAAUUCUACGAGCACAGAUGUGUUACCAUGGAUCAUUGGCAUUUUAGUUACAAUCCUGAUCAUCAUACUUUCCAUGUGUUGCAUCUGUUGCAUCUAUUGUUGGUGGAAAAAAUCAAAGAAGCAGAAUUUGCCGCUAACCUUUAGUGGUUUUAUGACGUAUCUACGAACUGGCUUUUGCUUCCGAACACGUUCUUUGCCUGAGAGUGGAAGCAACCAUUCGCUGGGAUCUUACUCUAGGCGUGAAGUCCAAGGGGUCUCAGCAGAUUUGGAAGAAACUGGACAGAAUGGAGGGAUCAGAACUCCACGUGAACAUGGUGAAAAUGAUCCGGAGCACGUUAACAGACCCGAAAGUGUGCAAAUUCACAGAUCUUACUCUGGGUGUGAAGUCCAAGUGGUCUCAGCAGAUUUGGAAGAAACUGGACAGAAUGGAGAGAUCGGAUCUUACUCUGGGCGUGAAGUCCAAGUGGUCUCAGCAGAUUUGGAAGAAACUGGACAGAAUGGAGAGAUCAGUAUUGAUUUCCAGUCUGAUGGCAACACAGCUCGACCCCGUUGUCUGGAGUCCAGCUUAAGCAAUAAGCACAUGCUGCCAACUGAAAAGGACUUGGACUUGGAUGAUGAGGAAGAGCAACAGGCUGAAAGGCGAUUGCUGCUGUCGGAUCAGGGAGGUGCCAUAUCAUGUGGAACGAUGGCAUUGGUCUCCAACCCUCCCUCUGAUACUGAUGUGCCCAAACGGGCAUCCACAGCAGCCGUAAGACUCAGAUUUGAAUCAUUUCAUCUUUUUUACACAUUAUCGCUGUUUUUUUUGUUUGUUUGUUGUUUUUUUAACGUAUUGACCCUCCUUCCUUUUCCUUUUAUUCCAGGCUUGACGUGGAGGCAACACACUACAUACAGUACCUACAAGUUAUAUAUUAUAUAGAUACAUACAAUGAAUAACAGAUUAUAUAUAGCAUAUAAAUAUUAUUAUAAAUAUUUACAUGAAUACAUGUAAAACAUUAUAUCAUUAAUAAAUAAGCUGUAUGUGGGGUUUUAGAUGACA
ensembl:lncRNA uncharacterized LOC114468191